AUUGAACGCUGGCGGCAGGCCUAACACAUGCAAGUCGAACGGUAACAGGAAACAGCUUGCUGUUUCGCUGACGAGUGGCGGACGGGUGAGUAAUGUCUGGGAAACUGCCUGAUGGAGGGGGAUAACUACUGGAAACGGUAGCUAAUACCGAAUAAAGUCGCAAGACCAAAGAGGGGGACCUUCGGGCCUCUUGCCAUCGGAUGUGCCCAGAUGGGAUUAGCUAGUAGGUGGGGUAACGGCUCACCUAGGCGACGAUCCCUAGCUGGUCUGAGAGGAUGACCAGCCACACUGGAACUGAGACACGGUCCAGACUCCUACGGGAGGCAGCAGUGGGGAAUAUUGCACAAUGGGCGCAAGCCUGAUGCAGCCAUGCCGCGUGUAUGAAGAAGGCCUUCGGGUUGUAAAGUACUUUCAGCGGGGAGGAAGGGAGUAAAGUUAAUACCUUUGCUCAUUGACGUUACCCGCAGAAGAAGCACCGGCUAACUCCGUGCCAGCAGCCGCGGUAA
rnacentral:rRNA from 1 species